rnacentral:SRP_RNA from 1 species
UCGUGCUAGAUGGGGAGCUAGCGGUGCCCUGAACCUGCAAUCCGCUACAGCAGGAUGGAAUUCCCUUCUGAGGCUCUUUGCCCGGUGGGACUGCCUGGUUUAAGUGGUGUUGAAGGCUGGGUCUUACGCGGCGGAGAGCUAUGAACCCCGUCAGGUCCGAGAGGAAGCAGCGGUAAAUAGCGAAACUCCGGGUGCCGUAGGGUCGCCUGGCCGGAGCCGGCUGGGCCGGGCAAGCCGUCGGACGGAGUCGAAGGUGGGUGCACGA